UGUCUGUCUGUGACUGUCAUCAGGAGUGGUUUGGUUGGAUUUGAAGAAACGAGUACUUCAUACUUAAAGGCAUACAUAUUUUCUCUAAUUGCCAAAGGCAAGGGGGAGGUCCAGGGCAGAAUAAAAAAGGUUAUUGUGACAGAUGAAAUAUAAUUCACAAUGAGCAUUCUUUUCAUCUAGGCUGAAGUACCACAGGAUUACUUACAAGUUGAAUUUUGUGGCAGAACGUAUAAACUCAUAUUAAAAGAAGCUAGAAAGAAAAGCAGCAAGCCUGUUACUCUCUGGCCCCGGAAGUGUUUAUUUUGAAUAUGUCUGUCUUGGGAUUGUGUUCUGUUUCUCCUAACAUAAAGAUACACUGGCGAGAAGAGGGACUAGGCAGCAAGGGUGGAAAGGAAGAAACCUAAAAGCAAUCAAAGCUGCUUCUUCCCUCUACCAAUGAAGAAAGAGGAGUUAGAUGGAUUUUUAUUCUCUUUGGGAUGCACAUGCAACAAUCAUAUUUUUCAGCACACGUUUAUUUUUGGCUGCAAAAGUUCUGUAUUCAAGCCCAUCGUAUGUCUCCUGAGAAGAAAGAAAAACUUCCCCAAAGUUCAUGACUGAAACCAUCUUCACAUCCUAACCAUAUUGCUCUGGAAGGCCAGGGUUUCCAAAGAAAGGCCAAAGACCAACAGCUGUAUUUCCUUGGUUUCUUCAUUUUUGUUUAAUGUUUGAUAAAGUUAGGGUAGAAUGCUAUUUACCUUUGAAAGUUCAACUUAUCCAUGAACAUUCGGUUCAUAUAUCUAAGAAUAAAACUGAAGGGGUUUUCAACCCCAUAAGAAAAACAAUACCAACUAACCAGACUCCCAGUGUCUAAACCACCAACCAAGGAGCACACAUGGAGGGACCCAUGGUUCCAGCCACAGAUGUAGCAAAUGAUGGCUUGCUGGGUAUCAAUGGGAGGAGAGGCCCUUGGUCCCAUGAAGGCUCGAUGCCCCAAUAUAGGGAAAUGUCACGGUGGGGAGGCAGGAGUGAGUGGGUGGGUAGGGACACACCCUCAUAGAAGCAGGGGGAGGGGGGGGUGGGUUGAGGGUUGGGGGGGGGGCAGAAAUCCAGAAAGUGGAUAACAUUUGAAAUGUAAAUAAAUAAAACUCCCAAUUAAAAAAACAAAAACAAAAAACUAUGUUCUCUCUGUUGAAGAGGCUUUUAAAGAAAUAUAAUAAAAUAUUACUUUCUAUUAAAAUGUGUUAGAUUUAAUUAAUUUUCAAAAAGUAACUAUUUGAGAACUAUAUAGUAAAUAGUAAAACGUUAUGAAUAAAAAUUCACAUCAUAAAAAUAAAGCAUCUUGGGUGUUCUAGGUUUCUGGGCUAAUACCCACUUAUCAGUGAGUGCAUAUUAAGUGACUUCUUUUGAAAUUGGGUUACCUCACUCAUGAUGAUAUCCUCUGGAUACAUCCAUUUGCUUAAGAAUUUCAUAAAUUCAUUGUUUUUAAUAACUGAGUAGUGCUCCAUUGUGUAAAUGUACCACAUUUUCUGUAUCCAUUCCUCUGUUAAGGAACAUCUGGGUUAAUUUGUAAAACACAAGAAAAUCAAGAAGAUGGAAGACCAACAUGUAGAUACUUCAUUCCUCCAUAGAAUAGGGAACAAAAUACCCAUGGAAGGAGUUACAAAGACAAAGUUUGGAGCUAAGACAAAAGGAUGGACCAUCCAGAGACUGCCCCACCCAGAGGUCCACCCCAUAAUCAGCCACCAAACACAGACACUAUUGCAUAUACCAGUAAGAUUUUGCUGAAAUGGCCCUGAUAUAGCUGUCUCUUGUGAGGCUAUUCCAGUGCCUGGCAAAUACAAAAGUGGAUGCUCACAGUCAGCUAUUGGAUGGAACACAGGGCCCCCAAUGGAGGAGCUAGAGAAAGUACCCAAGGAGCUAAAGGGGUCUGCAACCCUAUAGGUGAGCAACAAUAUGAACUAACCAGUACCCCCAGAGCUCCUGUCUCUAGCUGCGUAUGUAGCAGAAGAUGGCCUAGUUGGCCAUCAUUGGGAAGAGAGGCCCCUUGAUCUUACAAAUUUUAUAUGUCCCAACAUAGGGGAACACCAGGGCCAAGAAGUAGGAGUGAGUGGGUAGGAAAGCAGGGUGGGGGGAGGGUGUAGGAGACUUUUGGGAUAGCAUUUGAAAUGUAAAUGAAGAAAAUAUCUAAUAAAAAAUUUAAAAAAUAAAGCAUCUAAACUACAUGUGUGUAUGAUGUGUGUUAUGUUGGCAAUGGUACUCAGCUUUUAUUGGUUUCAUCUCUAAAAGAAACCCUAUCUAUAAUCAAGACUGUAUCCUAUUUAAAAAAUAAUGUGUUAAUGUGACCUUAGAAGAAGAAAACAAAUCUCUUUUAAUUAAUACUUCUGUAAAGUACAUUUUGUAGUCAAACUAUUGCAUGAACCCCUACUUGGAUUAUACUUUUCAAUUUCCAUUUAUAAUUUAGAAAUAAAAAGCAGAGCUACAAAAUUUCUAAUCUCACGAUCCCAAGCUUACAAGAGCUUGAGUUUCGACUCACUGACUUAAAAUGGUAUAAAAGUGAUAUGUGCUCAGUACAAGCAGUUUAACUCUAGUGGUGAAUGAUACUAUCUUGAGCCAAGGGUACGCAAGAUCUUGCUAUGUUCAGGUCAGCCAUGUGACCAUGACGGCCGACAACCUCUAUAUUCUGCAAGCCCUGCUCAUCCAUAUUUAGUUAAAAUCAAAGAUGAAAAAUAUGAAACAUGAGAGCAUUUCUAAAGGGAGUUAUUUAUUUCCCAGACUCAUACCAGCAACAGAAAAGAAACCAGGAUCGACCUCAGCAUUUUAUCACUUGACUAGCAUGUAUAAGGCCUUGAGUUUGAACUGUGACAUUUUGUUACAAAAAGUGGUUAUAUAUCAUUUGAAAAAUUAAUAUGAGAAAUUAAACUGUCAGCUCACUCGGCAUAGAAACCACUUAGUAGAGGCCUGCUUUCAACAAGGCCUUUCUGAAGUGAUUCAUAAAAUGAAAUAUAUUGGCAAUGUUUAUGUAAGGAGUUCUUUUGUUUUAAAUCUACCCAUUCAAAUACCAUCAUUUUUAUGACCCUAUGAUAUCCUUGGUUCUAGGAAAAUUUAUUCACUUAAAAAUACUUGAUAGAAAUAUAUUAGCAAUGCUCUAGCAGGUAGAAAUAUAGUCAUUAAAAAAAUCAUUAGAAGGUUGUCUGCUGUGGUGGAUGGUUACAAGAGUGAGAAAGAAGAAACAGUAUUCCAGAUAAUGUUCUCAGAUGGCAGAAUGGGAACAAAGUUUGAAAACCUAGAAGUGUCCAGCCAUGUAAACAGCAUACAGUUUUAAACCAGAAGGAAGAGCCUGUGGCAGAGUCCCUGGGUAGAUAGGAGCUCUGUGUAUUGAGAGCAAGAAGAGACCAGCAUAAUUAGGCAAACUGAAGGGUGGGGAGGUUAGUGGGAAUUACCUUCAUGCCACUCAAGUAUCUACAGUUACAAAGAAAAGUUUGACCUUAUCUUCAGGGGGAUAGAUAUCUACGAAGUCACAGUCUGUUCUGAAGCCUGCGAUGAUGAAUCUGUGUGUAACCCAUGUAGACUAUCCACUGUAACUAGUGUGUUACACAAUCCAACACUAUCCAAAGGAAUCAGAGUUUGAACUUCACUUACAUAAAAUCUGAAGAUCUGGGAUAUGUGUUUAUGAUUUCUGCUUUUUGAGUCUGAAGAUUUUGGAUGCUGCCUAUAUAAUAUAGACAAGAUAAGAACCACCUGUAGACGAAUUAGCUACUCUUAGCUUCUUACCAAAAGAACGCUUUGUACAAUUCCAACAGACUCCUUGAAUUGCCAGAGCUUCUUGGUGUGAAAGAAUAUAUGUUGGGCAUGCCUAAUCUAUAAGACUUAAAUAUAAAUAUUUCCAAAUUGGAAGCUACAUAUCGAGGAGUACAGAUAGAUUUAUUGGGUUUUCAGAAAAUGAUUAUAUGAAAUUGAGAGUAAAAUACUGGAGGAACAACUGAGGUAUUCAAAGUGAGAUGUGCAUUUGAUCAAAAUGCAUUAUAUUAAAAUCUGAAAUUUUCAAACAACAAAAGGUAUUUACAGAAGAAAAUCUCUCUCCAUAUAUGUGAAUAUAUAUAGUUGUUGUUAUGGCAGGUUUUAUUGAGUCUGCUUAUGAUAGCAAAUAGUAUUUUAUAAAAAUACUACAUCUGGUACUACCUCUGACAAGAGGAGAAAGAAAAAUUUGAUAAUUCAUAAAAGAUUAUAGUGAGAAUUCAUCAGUUCCUGAACUUUACUAUACUAUAUAGAAAACUUUUUGAUAGUGAAAUAUUUGGUAUGCUUCCUUAAAUCCAAUGUUGUUGAAAGGAAUACAACUGUCAUCUAAAUGUAUCCUCACAAGUACACUGAAAAAUUCCAUGAAUUAAACAUGUGUACUUGCCUAAGAAGUAAUAGAACGUAGCAUUAGGUUAUCAAAUCAACUUUUGUUCCAAUGUAAGAGUUUUCCCUUUUGUCUACUUCUUAAAUUGUUUUGUCAUGCAUGUGAGUAUAAACUUUUUAAAGUUGUGCUUCUUACUCCAUUUCCCAAGGGUGGAUAUUCAAGGCUCUAUUAAAAGUCUUUAAUCAGGAACGGAAGGGUGGGUGUUCUCAUUCUAUUUUUCUUGAUGGAAUCAAGAAAAUUUGUCAUGGUUAGGGCCACUAUUAUUAGUAGUAAUAGUAGUGGUGUCAGCAGAUUUCUAUUAGCCAACCAUUAUGUUUAUGUAGUCAUCACUUUUAAUCCUCGCCACAAAUAAGCAUUAAAGUUCAUCUUCAUAUUUAUACAAAAAAAGAAACUCACAAUAUUAACUUCACUACUGGUGAUUUAUGACCAUACUCAUAGAUUAGAACAUCUUUCAACCCUAAUCAGAGAAGCCUUUUGCAGUGGAUGACAAAAAAACAACGCCAGAGAAUAAGAGCCCAAAGAAUACAGAGCCCUAAAUCUAUAGCACAACUUCAUCCCAAAUCCUCAGGGAUCAAAUGGGGCAAGAGGAGGAGGAGGAGGAAAGAUUAAAAGAAGCAGAAGCUCUGAAUGUUUAUAAUAGUUAUGUUUCUGGACACAACCUCGAACUUCGUUACUCUGAUGCCAAUCCUGAAGUGCUGAAGAGGAUGCCCUAUGUUUCAUUUCUUUAGCCCCCAAAAUGACCUCAGUUCUUCGUUCUAUUUCUAUAACCGUUCUGAACAUCAGGGCGGCACAUUACUCAAGGAAGAAGGGGGUGUCUUCUGUGUUCUCGCAACACAUUGCAUAAGUCUUAGCAUACUGAUUAGGAAAGCCUUUGACUCAGUUUUGAGUAUUGAAAAAGGGAGAAAGCAGCCUUCCAAAUCCACUAUGACUAUAAAAGAGUAUAACUGUUUGAAUAGUUUGGCGACUUUUUCCAUAUACCACUAGAAUGGUAUAUGGUUAUCUCUCUCUAAAAAAGAAAAAAGUAGGACUGGUAAUUAAAACCAACUUCACUUUGCGUUUGGAAUUCUGCAAAGUGUUAUGUGAAUAAGGUUCGAAUUUGGAAGGCACUCUGAAGUAAGGGAUUCAUGUGUUAGUGGCUUAAACCUCACUGUGAUAAAAGCAGCUAAAGGAAUUGUGGUGGCAUUGAGAGUUUCUUGUGGGAUCCUCCCUGAAUGCAGGCUUCAUAUCUGACCACCUCUUCUUUUCUCUUAUGUUCCCACCCUGAAAUCAUUGGCAGUAAUGGCCCCAAUAGACAUCUAAACACUGGAACUAUCCAAUCUUGAACACUGGGACUCUAAAACUUUAAGCUGAAACUUUACUCUAUCUCAGGAUAUUGUCAUAAGACCAGAAACCAGACUAAUAUAGUAGUUAAAGCAGGACUUGAGUAAAUCCAAGCAAACACGUGGACAAACGGACUCAUCAUUGCUGGGACGUGGUUUGCCUGUGUCCAUGAGCCGUAAUCCUGAUCUCAGGUGUGAUGAUGUUGUAGAGGCUUUAGUAGAGGAAGCAUAGUAGAGGGAGGGCAUGGUGGGAACACUCUCUGAAGAGAUCAGUAUAGUGGAAGGACGUCAUGUCUUAAUUACUUUCUCACUGACAUGAUAAAAUACCCAAGAGAAGCAGCAUAAGAGGUAAGUCAUCUGGAUCACUUUUUGGCAUUUUCUGUCCAUCCUGUUGUGGAAGACAUUCUGGUGGGGACUUAAGAUAUGACUUGUUUUGUCUCAACAGACAGGAAGCAGAGAUCUCAAAGAAAAUGCAAGGUGUGUUGCAACAUCCAAGGUGAACCCUGACAAUCAUUUCUUCUCCCCAGACUCACUUCCUAGGGUUCCAUCACCUCCCCAAAGGGAACACAGCUGAGGAGAAACAUGCCCAGACACAUGGGCUACAGAGAAUAUUUCACAUUCGAAUCCUGACAGGUCAUUUAGUUCUCAAAGGUAAGAAUUGCUUCAAAAACACUACACUGCACUGCUGAGUCCCAUCUGCUUCCUUUCCCUCCAUGUGAUUCUUCUGUCUGCUUCUCCAACAGGCUCAAACCAGGAUGCCAGGUACCAAUAAAGGCAGACACCCCAUCCCCCAUUACAAGCAUCACAAAUGGGCCAAUCUGAUCUUAAGCUUUCAUCCACACAAAUUAUCAACACAAUAUGCCUAUUUUUAUUAAUUUUUUUACCCUCAAUUAUUUUGUUAUAGCCACAGACAAUAAACAAAUACAGGCCUGAAAUAUCUAUCUAUAAAUACCAGUGACAAGCCUUUUUUUUUCCUUACUUUAACUGUCCUGUUCUUUAGAAAUCUUAUUUUUAUUUAACUAUAUUUAGCAACUUGUACUGAACUAUAUCAAGCAAACCUAUGAUUGGUUUUUCUUAGAAACAGUGAUAAUCUAUAUACUAAAUUUUUAAAAAAAAAUAUUCACAUGAGGUUUAUUUAAAGGAAUUGUUUAGGUCACAAUUAUCUAUACGCACUCAUUAAAAUCAAUAUAUAGUAUUUAUUUUGAUUUUGUAAGUUGUAAGGGUCGAAUACUAGUAUGGGUAUCAAGACUACACACAAAAUAACAAAAUUCUGUAUUUUUAAUUAUCUUGUUAGUCAUGAGAGAAAAGGGUUGCCACAAAAAUCAGUUGAUCUGCUUCCUAUAAUUGAAUAAUUAAAUUUAUGCAUUUUGAAACCCCAAACUACAGUCUGUCAGUCUCUGGAAGUUCAAUCUUCAUUGACAGAUUUUUACUAAGGGUUAAAUAUGCACAUAUUAUUCUAUAAAUAAAACUUUAGGAGUAACUUUUAGGGGAAUUCUUCACGUUUUUCUUAUAAAGAUUGAUAAAUUAGCUUCUGUCAAUGUUGAUCUGAAUAUUCUUUUGCUAACAGCAGUGGGUCCCAAAUGCAUUAUUGUUCUUUGUAUACAUUCCUUUCACAAGUGACCGCACAUGCUUGGUAACACAGGACCAAAUUACUCAGUGUCAAAGUCAUAAAGGAUUCAGGAUAAAGUUAAGAGUGCUUGAUGCCUCCCAUACGCAAUGGUAAUAGGACCAUCCUGGAGCAGGCAUUUCUGUAUGCUUAGUUGGAUAAUUCUAACAAUACUUGCGUUGAUCGACUUUUAGAUAAGCAACUGAAGGUUAAACUAAAGUUGGUGUGUAUGUUAUCUAAAGUCAAAGGCUGAGAAUGUGGAAAAAUAGAAUGUUAACUCAUUAUUCUAAUAUUACAACCCCAGCUUCUACUCUUAUAGUAGACUGUUUUAAGUUUGGAUUAAUUACUAGUAACCAGAACUGUAAUUGGAAAAAUCAGGAAUGCUCAGUUUGGUACUGCUUUGAGAGGAACCAAUAUGAGUUCCCUUAGCAUUACUUACUUGGAUGAUAUCUGUUUCGAGUAAUUCUUUUAAUGUAUUUUAAAAGUCCACUUUGCCUACGAGUUGCUAAUUUUACAUCUUCCUAUGUUCAUGGUCCCUGUCAAUCUCACUAUUUUGACAGCAGUUAAGAGAGAUGAUCUACUGAUAGGUGGGUAAGGAGGAACAUGGUACCAACAGGAAUCACCACAAUACACAUGGUCAGAACUUUAGCAUUUUACUCAACGUAGCAUAUUUUGUAAAAUAAGAACGAUAAACUGGUUUAUUUAUACAUUAUAAAAAUAGACUAUUAUUUUCAUGUCCCUUGAAAAAUCUAUUUGCUGAAAAGCACAAUGUUGAUUCACAAGGCAAUGGAAAAAAUAUAAGUGAAUUUCUUCAUUUUCACCAGCUAUAAAAUGGCAUGAGAUUAAGUCAACUUUUUUUUUAAUUUAACAUGGUUCACUUUUAAUUUUCUUGGUUCUUAGGGAAAAAAAAUAAGAGCUAAACCUAUCUGUAUUCUACUCAGCCAUACAUCAACAAAAAUACUCUGUGUGUAUGAGAAGAUAAAUACGGCAUGUUUGACAUUUGGAACAUCCCUGCAGAGGCAUGGAUUUGUAAUUCAGAUCGCAUAGCAGUUUUGAUUUCUCCCUCAUGUCCAUGCCCUUUCUCUAUCCAUCGCCUUCCCCCCCUCCCCCAAAUAAAACACAAAGACUCUAUCUGCAGUGGACCGAGGGCAACCCAGGAAUCUGUGCAGACUAGACUAUCCAUCACAUUUCUUUCUUAAUUGAAUGACACCAGAAUGAGAUCGAUAAAAUGUAACAAGAGACAGCUUUGCAUUUCCACACUCACUUAUCCCAACCCCCCCCCACCCCAUUACUCUCAGCCACCACCGUGACCAGAAAGCCCAAGUAAAGAACAUGAAUCCUGCUGCCAGACAAGCUCUUAAGAUAUGAAGGAACUUGUCAGGGAAACAACGAAAGUUACAAAUAUUAGACAGUAGAUGAGGGGUCAAAAGGUUAUUAACCAGUAUAGAAUAGUCUUCCUUAAAAAGCAGUUACGUAGUUGCAUCCCCCCUCCUAUGUAAGAUCCUCCUCUGAAAUGGUUCAAUCCAGUCAUCCCAGAAGCUCUCUCUAUGCUUCCAGGAUUUCUUGGGGCUACAGCAGUGAGUGUGUUUCCAACAGAGUGUGGGUGAUGCUUCAACUCAAACCCAAUAGGCUUAAAAUGUUAUAACACAGGGCAGCUGUGCUACACUGACGAUUGCCCAAGGUUCCUGAGAUCCUCAAUGCAUUAUUGAUAACCCCACCACUCUGCCGAAGCACAGGCUGACAUCGUUCGCUCUCAACCUUGUUCUGAAGAGCCCUGGCUUGGCUGGGAAUCGAUCAGUGUAAAACGUUAACCAAAGAACAAAACUGCCCAUGUAAAAGUUUACAUUAAGAAUCUCCUGUGCUCACUGACUGGCUGUGUUAACCAAAAUCACAUGGCCAGCUUUGCUAUUCAUAUGUCGUUGGCAGCUUACAUUGUGCUCUAGCCCCAGGCUAUAGGGUGUAAUAAUUCAUUUAACACUCUACAUCUUGAGCUGAUUAUAAGUUAUUUGUGGGGAAAAAAUUUGCUUUCUGAAAGAAAAAUAAACAUGGAUGUAGUUUUAAAAACCAUUUUCUUCUUUCUAUUACAUUUUUCUCUGCAUUACUUUGAAAUUAAAGUUGAUCUAGAUAAUUUUCCUGUAUUCAUAUAGUGCUUAUCAUUAACAUGUAGCCAUUUCUGGCAUUCCUACAGAGAUGAUAUACUUAAUUUUAUAUUUCAUACAUUAACUAACAAACUAAAACUGUGAAUGGGAAUGUCUAAUUUUGCUCAUAAAUCUCAAAACUGGUGUUUUGAAUAUGAAAAUUAUAUAUUUCCUGUCUCACUACAAGCAGUUUGUAGUAUGAAUUCUAAGGUAGAUUCUGUUACAGAGCACACUCUGUGCUUAUGAUUUGAAUUGAAAAUAUUAUGUACUGUUUGCUUGCUAUAACAAGGGAAUACUAUUUCCUUAGAUGAUGGGCAAUAUGCAAUGCCAUCAUUAUUCCUGAGUGACUUUUGUACUCUGGAGCAAAUAAGCUUACAAUUCUAUUACUAUUCAUUGAUAAAAAUAAGUAAUAACACAAAUCAGGUAGCGAACAUAGAAUUUGGCCUCAUCUGCAGGCAUUGGCCACCUAAAGUAGGUAUAAAUGCCUGCUCAGCCAAAGGAGACACAUGGCAUGUUUUGAUGAAUGUCUUUCAUCUGUCAUUUACUUGCUGAGCCCUCAAUUUGCUAUAGCAUAAACUUGCUCAAAUUGUAAACUGUAAUAUUGCCCGAGAAAGAAAUAAGUAAAGUCCUAGAUAAUAUGCAUUUUAAAAGGUACAUUUCUUAAUAAAAGGAACUGUGUUUUUUCUUCACCAAAGAAAAGUCACGUGCAUCUUGUAAGACACAAAUUCUCUCAUGCUUUGCAGAAUAUAUGAACACUGAAGUACCUCAAGAUUGCCAUGCUCCUCUUUUUUAAUAGAGCCAUUGCCCCCUUUUUAUUUUUUGUGGGCUGCAGGAGCUUAAGCCCUGGAAAAAGAGACUAGCUUCACAGAAUGUGGAACUCAUUUGUGAAGCAUAAAGGAAACCUAAACUGGAGAAAAACACUUGAGUACUACCUCUGAUCUGGCAUGCUUUGCUGACCAUCUCUUGUUUUCAUUACAAAUAAUCUAUUUAGCAGAAUAAGGGUGAGACUGUCUGUAGUCGUGAGAACGACACCAGAGUCUGCUGGCCCUAGUAUUGGAAGGACUCAUCUGAACCUGUGCCCAGCUCCCACCUGGAAAGAUCUAUGCUCCUGAACACAGUGAUGGACAGGCCUGGGAACUCACAUCACCUCCGUGUGUGCAUUGAUUUCACUCAGUAUAAAUUCACUCAGAGCUUCAGUAUCGAGAUGUCUCACACAGUCAAACUCAGCUUUAAAAUAUUUUCUGGCUCUGUGCAGCUUAGAAAGGACACCUUUGGCAAAGCAACCACCCAGAGAUCCAAUAAAGACAAUGUAAGGCCGUGACUCCUGAAGCUUAACUUUAGAAAAUGCCCCCUUCGUGAAAUACCCAGCUUCACCAAGUGCAGAGAAACAGAACUUAAAACACAGCAAAACAACUUGAUAGAUGGUUGCUGAAGGGACUUCGCCUGGAUUGUUAAAACUGAAGGUUCACAAAUAAACAUUUCAAAUGUUUUUGGCUGCAUGCAGAUAACACCCUCUCUGGGGAGAAGGCUAGAAACUGUUGGGUUCCUUUGUGCAGAGUCCUGGAAUGUGCCUGCUUUUCAUUUCUUCCUUUGUGUCUGCACACUGGCCUCACAGGCAGUGUCUUAAGCCAUCCAGGGUCAGGGCAAACAGAGGAGCGCAUUCAUGGACAGAUCAAGUUUAUGUGAGAAUCUGCUCCUCCUAGCUGCCCUCCAUCUCCAUAUGAAUCGUUAAUAAAAUCGCAGCCUGAAAGCUCAUCGCGCCAACAGUGAGGAAGUCAUGCAGAGAAUCCUCUGGUUCAGAGGGAGAAAAAAAAAAAAGAUUUCUUUAUCUUUUUCAUCCUUCGCCGGCCUUCGUGGGAAUUCUGCCAUCUAACUCCUUCUGCGCUAAAUCUCUCCCCCUCAUCCCAACACCACGGUCUUCCCCUAGCAACUUUCUAACUGGCACCUGAUCACGUGGGAAAGCGGGGGAUGGGAGUGGACACAAAGACAAAAGAAACAUUCUGAUAUCCUCAGCAAAUCUUCCAGAGCGCCAAGUCAGCCUCUGCUGCACUACAUUGCUGCAAAAACCUUCAGGCAGUAUCAAUGUUUCAAUUUUCCCAGGUCGUGUCAAACAGCUGGGAAGACUUUCCCAUAGUUUUAUGACACCACACGAGCUACAGAGGCACAGAUAUCUCAAAAGGGCACACGAAGAACAGCGUCUUUCCCUAAUUAACUUGCUAACUCCAUGCAAAUACUGGACAGAAUCAAGCCCCUGAGUUAUUGCAGGCAAUCUCACGUGUAUCUUCUAACCUUGCUGCUGCCUAGCUGUAGGCUCUUGUUUCCUCCGCUCUUGCUCCUUGCAAACUGUCUUAAUAUCGAACGCGUUUCAGAGGGAUGGGCUGAUGAAUGAAAACAUGAAUUUCUGCUUGCCCUUUAAGGUGGGUUAAGGGGCGGGGGUGCUGGUGUAAUCAAUUACUGAACAAAAGAACAACAACAACAAAAGACUUACAACCCACAGAGUGGCUGUGUUACAUCCUGCAGUCUGUUUUAAACCAGUACUUCUUUUAUAUUUACCACUAUUAGAUUCUAGUAUGGAUCAUUUAUUUCAUCAAGAAGAGAAAAAGAAAGAGGAGGAGGAAGAAGAGGAGGAAGAAGAGGAAGGAAGGAAGGAAGGAAGGAAGGAAGGAAGGAAGGAAGGAAGAAGAAAAAAGAAACAAGAAAGAUAUAGAAAGUCUUCCAGUAGAUCCUGAAGAAAACUUAGUAUUUUUUUAACUUAAAAAGUAUUGAUAUAUUUGAGCUUCAAUUUGAUACUAACUUAGCAAGUAAAAAGUUUGAAAUCUCAUCUACAUCCAUCCUUCAGAUUUUUUAGACUGCCUCAGCAUGCUCUGGUCUCUUUUCAGGAUAUAAAGUUUGUAGUUUGCAUUCUAAUUAGCAUCCUGGUCCUAUCAGCUCCAGGUUCCCAGUGUUACUUUCCUAAAGAAAAGGACAGCAAUGCCAAAGUUCUCCACAAAUGCAGCUCCAGGUUACCGGAUAUCAACCUCUUUAGCUGCCUUCCUCAAAGAACCACGACUUCUGUUUAAAGGUGAUGUUUCCAAAUAAACCUAAUUUGACAAAAAUGUAACAAGACUCUAUCACUGAAUGUCUUGAAAUCCUCUUAGCUAUAUUUCAGAAAAUGGAAACACACAAGUUCUCUUACACAACACACCUCCCUUACAGCAAGAGUCAAGCUAAAAAGAAAACGAUGACUUCUCAGCCACUCAACUAGUAAAACUAUAUAAAUUAUUAUGCCACCCAGUUUAAAUAAAUACCGUAUCUCUUUGCUCAGUCUAUGCAGAUAUCAGUUGCAGUUUCUGGGGCUUGUUAUUGAUAGUUCAAAGAAUUCUUCUCCACAAGUUUUAGUGACAGGACUUUGACAAAGUUUUCAAACAGGAAAGUUGGUUUUAUGCUAAACAUCACAUCAUCUAAUAUAUUCUCCUUAAAAGUAGAAAACCAUUAAGUGCAUGAGAAAGCUAUGCCCUUUGCUUUUAACACAUAUGAGUUAUAAGAGAAAGUUGCUGUCCAAAAGCCAAAGUUCUGGACUUUGCAGUUUUAGAACAGUUAGAAUUUACCCCAUCCUGUAGUAUGCUGGAUAUCAACACAAGCUGACUAAUCCUUACACGUUAAAAUUAGCAACUGAAACAAACUGAGAAUUAAAAUUGAAAUGAGUCAGACUCUGCAUUGUAAGCAGAUUUGUGUUUUGUUUAUUGUGUUUCAGAGCUGUGCAAAGGGAGUAAGAUCUCAGUCUGAGUGGUCGCUGCUCAUAGAAAGCGUACACCACUCCCUGUCUCUUACCUGAUUCCUGGACAACAUGUGGAUCUGUCUUUAAUCAGAGUUAUUGAUUGCAUUCCUAAACCAGAGAAUGAAAUAUUUACUUUGCAUUGGCUAUCAAUACACCUAAUUGGGGGAAAAAACAAUAAAUAUCUUGGAUUUGAGGCUAUGCAUCUAGCUAUAGUCCAUACAGUUCACAUAACUAUAUAUAGUUAUAUAGUUGGCUACUAGCAUGCUUUUGACUGAUGGUCAAACUCAGUUUUUAAACCUGCAGAGUAUGCACAAUAUCAUUGACAUCAAAUGGCUUUAAGUCACAUGAGCUGCAUGAGUCUGAGGAAAGUCUCUUAGCACUUCUCUAAACACCUUCAUUUUCUUUCCAUUUGAAUUAAUUCAGCAACAUAAAUGUAUUUGGAAACACACUUAAAUGAUUUAAAACCAUCCUCUGCCUAAGUUUCAUCACUGCUCAAAACUAGAACUAGCAUUAUUUUGACCUGAUGUUGAGAUAUUCAUAAGGACUUUGCUAAUCAUAUGAUCCUUGAAAAGUGGCCUAUAUUAAGCAUUUUAUCACACUGCAAAAGUUAUAUGUUCAUAGUCUUUGUUCUUCCGUGACAUGGAGAACCUAGUAGCAAAUCAUUACGUGUCUUAAUUGGCAGUUUCCAGACUCAUUUUGUUUGUUUGUUUUUCCUCUUUUUACUUGUCUGUCAAAAACAUUUCAUUUGAAAAAAAGACUCAUCUAUUUAGGAAGAUGGAUAGAAAGCUAAAGGCAAUAAAAAUGUAGUAGGGGAUUUUGGACUAUGAAUUGGACAGAACUGCUAUUUAAUAGUUGAAUGCCAGUGGAGGGAUUAUGGAGAGACUGGAGUUACUACAUAUCUGUCAUAUAAGUCAAAGGACACAUUAGUCAUUCGGUAUAUAUUAGCAAUUCUGUAUCAGGAUAAAUUACUAUUAGUAGGGAUGUUUGAAAAAUCCAUACAAAAACUUAAUAUAAGUCACACACACACACACACACACACACACACACACACACACACACACACACACACAAUUAGAGUUAUCCUACCUAGUUUAUAACCUUCUUACCAAGAAGACUAAGGUUGCCAAAUAAAAAGGCCAGAGGUAGUUGUAGGAUGCCUUGUUUCAAGUUGUUAGUCAAGGGUAUUCUGGAGACCACCAAAACGAGACAGACUAUUACCAACCCUCUUGGUUGUCCACAAAAACUUAAAGGUGAUGAUCACAAACAUUUUGGUCACAGGACAUGGAGAAAUCAAGUUAGCACUGAUUAGAAAGCUUUCCCCUAUUGACUAUCUGCCAUAGUAUUAGAAAAUGUUUUCAGGCUGCUGGGGAGAAAAGUCCCAUGCAGUUUUGCCCAAAUGUGAACUAUAAUAAUGACAGAUGUUAUUCAAGAUAUGUCCAUGCACGUGUCAAAUGAGAUGGGCAGAACCAAUCACAUUCUUGCAUUUAAACCCCAUUCCACAGGAAUGAGCAGGUGCCUUGUUCUGUCAAUCUGGCUUCGAAUCUGGAUUCAGAAAGCUUAUAAACUCCAUAGUGAACCUAUAACUAGUAUUGUGCUCAAUAGUCACAGCUCCAAACUGACCUCGAAGUGAGUAUCUCUAUACCCAUAAAUCAGAGUAGAGUUAAGUCCUUAUCAGAGAAGUUUCUUUGUUCAGUGGGAAGUAGGUGAUGCAGAAACCACACCUUGUCCAAGUGCAGAAAAGAGGGGUCUGUGGAAUGCUGAGUCAUAGGUAGGGCAUCCAUAACACACCUCCUGCUUCCAAGGCUGUGGUACCAUUGUGGAAGCAGAUAAAUAGGUAAGGAAAGAUGCAGAGUCAGAGGUAGAAAAAGACCGAGAAGGUGUCUUCUAGAUAUUGCAAGGCCAUUGUCCUCAUUAACUUAGAAAUAGCUGCCCUUGUUUGAAUAAGGCUUGAAGCAGAUGAUGCCAGUCCACACUCCAGCGCGCAGGGGUUGGGAGCUCAUCAACUCUACCCCUACCUAAGGAGCUAUGGACAAACAAAUGUAUCUGCGGGAAGGAGACUCAGCCUUCUUUAAGGAUGUGGUCUUUGAUAGGUGAAGCAAGCUCCACUAAAUAGCUCCACCCCGAUGAAUGACGAAUACAACAUAAAUUGUGCAGGGCAAGUACCUGAAAUGACAGAAGAAGAUACUAGUGUAGGACAAUGGAGGUGGAUUUUAGAUGAAUUAGGGGAGGAAGAGGAUGAAUAUAACCAAAAUACAUUGCAUACAUUUAAUGAAUUCCUCAAAGAGUUUGCAUGUGUCAACAUACACACACACACACACACACACACACACACACACACACACACACACACAAUUAGGUACAAUACAUGUUUAAAAGUCUCCUUAAAGAUAAGAAAAAAUUUGAAUCAUAAGAAAAAUAUGGAUAUGAGAUUUUUCUUUAAAAGUUUAAAUAUAAAUGAUGAAAUAAGUCAAUAUAUUUAAGCUGAAGUGAUGGAAGUGUGGAUGCAUGAUGCAAUGUUUGGUGCCAUAGACUCAGCAUCCAGACAGACAGAGAUAUAUCUCAAACAGUAGUAUGUUUGUGAAACUUUUUUGAUGAACCAAUAUGGUAGUGAGAAACAGUGCUAUUAUUCUUUAAAGUCAAGUUUUAAGACAGGUUACAAAUGUUAUCAAGAAAAUCUGAAAGUUUGGUGACUCCUAAGGACUAUGAAUGUAUCAGAAUACUCUUUUGCCAAAAUGUAUUACAUCAACAGAUUCUAAGUAAUACUGUGAACCCACAUGUCUCCAUGGAGAUGUGUGUGUGUUGCAUAUAUGUGUAUGUAUAUAUGUAAAUAUACAUAGUGGAAUGAAUAUACAUAUAUAAUUACAUGAUAAUGCAUGUUAUACUUCUAGACUGAUUUCUGUUUCUCUAAUUAUUAUAUAUUGAUUUAAAGGUCUUGAGAAAGACUUAAUAAGUGGAGUCCAUUCUUGCCAUUAAAUUAAGGCUAAAUUAAAUGUAUUAUUCAAUUUUCAUUUAAGAAAGUAUGCUAUAUGAGAAUAUAUCAAACAUCGAACAGAAAAUAUGUCACAGUCAAAUUCCAUUUAUUCUUUUCUGUAGAACAUAACAUUCAAGUGAUUUUCAAAUAAAUCUCAGAAGAUAAUUUGAUUGAUGUUGUAAGAUCGUAAAGAAAAGUGAGGCACUACUUUUCCAAAUUAAGUUUCUAGAAAUAGAAUGAAAUUAGUGGCAUGGUACUUAGUCCAAAUAAAUAAACGCUUGACGUUUUAUAUUGUCCCAUUCCAGAUCUCUCUGCCGUAGUUCCAUAAUAACUUAUUAUCUCUGAAUUUCAACAGGAGCUAAUUGUUCACUCCUAUUUAACAACCACUUUACUUUUAAAGAGACUAAUGACGUGACAUUGAAAGUUGCAUGCCAUAUAAAACUUAAUAUCGACUAAGACAUAAUUGAAAGCUGGCAAGAUGGCUCAGGAGGUAAACGAGAUGCUUGUCAAGCCUGACUACCCGAGUUUAUCUCAAGGCUCACAUGGUAGAGUCAGAACUUCUCACAAGCAGUCUUCUGAGUUCUAUAUUGUUGCGCAUUUGUCUACACACACACACACACACACACACACACACACACACACACAUGCACACAGGCAAGCAUACACACCAAGUAACAACUAACUAACUAAAUUUGAAAAUGCACACUCAUAUUUUGAAGCCAUAAAGACUUCAUGGAGAUAAUAAACAAACCAACCUCUCUCUCUCUCUCUCUCUCUCUCUCUCUCUCUCUCUGUGUGUGUGUGUGUAGUGUGUGUGUCUAAUACCAUGCCCAAAACUCUAAAAUUAAUUUUAAACACAUUAUUUUCUUGAUUUAAAAAAGUGUAUAAAAUUCAGUGUUUAGAAUUAUUUUGCAUGUAAUUAUUCUCAACUAUCAAGCAUGGGGUUCUUUUCUGAGAUAUAAACAUGAAUGCAGUUGCAGGAGAAUUCUAUAGUAGAAUGUUUCUUAUUCUGGUUUACUUAAUCUGGACAUACUUCCUCCUAACAGAGUUCCAAGGCUUUGACCUUGAGAACCUGGUCAGAGCAGUGUUUCAAAUAAAAGCUCUUUGUCACCAAGACUGAUGACGCUAGUUUGAAUCCCUGGACUCACCACGUGGGAAGAGAGAAUAGACAACCUUAGGUUGUUCUCAGGCCUCCAAAGAGGUUCUGUGGAAUGUGUUUAUUUAGAAUAAACAAACAAAUGUGUUAAAUACUAAAAGUUCCUUAAGAAAAUAUGAAUACAUGAAAAUCAGCUCAUGACAGGCUCAAGUACAAAGUCCACACAGUUUUAGUUGAUUAUUGGCAAAGUAAAUUCUGUUCUGGCUCAUUCUUGUGCAAGUCAAAAUCAAUUUUAGUGAUAAAAAGAACCUUUGGUCACAAUUAAAGCAGGAAUUGUACACCAUAGAGGAGUAUGGUUGAGAGAGAAUCGUGAGAAAGUUGUCUUUGUGAAAUAUAAAACUUGCUAAAAUAUAGAUAAUAAUUGAGAUGGAUGAUAUAUAUAUAUAUAUAUAUAUAGAUAGAUAGAUAGAUAGAUAGAUAGAUAGAUAGGUAGAUAGACAUUAUAGUAGAGGUUAAGUAUAACACAAUACCAUGUAUAGCUGAAGUAUAAUGUAAAUAUUAUAACUGAUUCAAGUAGAAUUUGAGUAAUAAACGUAUUAAAUAGUUUUAGGUUAUAUAGAUCACAGCCUACUACCUUUUCACACAAAAAAAGGUAUUUCUCAAAAAAAUCUUAAAUUUCACUGAUUUCACUGUUGUAAUCUGUAACUCAAAUAUAACCGGGAUAUUGUUACCGUGUGUGAUUCAGACUAUAACUUCCCCUAGUCAGAUGCGGGCUUCCUCUAACAGCAUUUCAUGAAAAAACUCAAAUUCAAACAGGGUUGUGGCUUUCUUUGCUCUCCUCCUUUGCUUUCUGUUUAUGCAUGAGCAGUAGAGUGCACUUACGUCCUUGCCUUCUUCCUUCCUCCUUCCGUGUUCUGUAAUGUACUUCUGUCAGUGUGUGGAUGUCUGUUUGAUGCACAGACCAUUGCCACCUCACCAGCUAAA